UACGGAGGGGGCUAGCGUUGUUCGGAAUUACUGGGCGUAAAGCGCGCGUAGGCGGCUUUGUAAGUUAGAGGUGAAAGCCCAGGGCUUAACCCUGGAAUUGCCUUUAAGACUGCAUCGCUAGAAUCGUGGAGAGGUGAGUGGAAUUCCGAGUGUAGAGGUGAAAUUCGUAGAUAUUCGGCGGAACACCAGUGGCGAAGGCGACUCACUGGCCCGAUACUGACGCUGAGGCACGAAAGCGUGGGGAGCAAACAGG
rnacentral:rRNA from 1 species